ACAAACAGACUUUGUACAGAGCACAGAGCCUGAUGCAGGGCUUGAUCUCUCGACCCUGAGAUCAUGACCUGAGCUGAAAUCAAGAGCCAGACACUUAACUAGCUGAGCCACCCAGGCGCCCCAAGAUAAAACAUUUAAAUAGAAUACUUCAUUUGCCUACUUUCCGUAGUGCACAGCAGGGUUCUAGGCUAGACUCUGGUAAUGUUAGUGAUAAGGGCCUCACUAACAACUAAAUUGUAAGGUAUAUGUUCAGAAAUAUACUCAUUGGGAGUUUAGGCUUUGAAGACAAACAGGCCUGCAUUCAUACAUCUGUCUGUGUAAUACACCCUGUGUUACAUACACCUCAGCAGCUUUCUGACUGGGUAACAUUGAGUGUAUGGUUAAUUGAUUCUCAGAUUUCUCAACUAUAAGCUGGUUGUAAUAAUACCUGAUUUGCAGAGCUUCUAUGAAAGAAAAGCUCUUUGCAAGAUCAUUCUCACAUCAUGGUUGCUUAAAUGGCACGUUAUUAAUUUAGUAAAGAAUGUUGUGAUUUUUUCAGUUUUAAAAUAUACUACUUGAUCCACUGCAUGGAAAAAACUUGUGUUUUCAUUAUUUUAAAUUUAUGUAAUAGAGGGCGCCUGGGUGGCUCAGUUGGUUAAGCGACUGCCUUCGGCUCAGGUCAUGAUCCUGGAGUCCUGGGAUCAAGUCCCACAUCGGGCUCCCUGCUCAGCAGGGAGUCUGCUUCUCCCUCUGACCCUCCUCCAUCUCGUCCUCUCAUUCUCUCUCUCGCAAAUAAAAAAAAAAAGAAAAAAAAAUUUAUGUAAUAGAGCUGCAGAUAUUACUAUCGGAGAUGACAUGUUGCUAACUUCACUUCAGGUAUUCUUGUUCUGCUCUUCUGUACUGUGUAGGCACAAUUUAGGAUGAGAGUCACAGCAUGGCAGUCUUCUCUACCUCCUAUGUGUGGAAUUCACUGUUGAUAUCUGUUGAUGCUUUUUUGCAAAAAUCAAGUUUCAGAGGCCCUGCAGACCAUGGAGGGGAGGGUUCAGUGGUCAGGGGCUGAGCAGUAAUUCCUGUUAGCUGCCAGUGGUGCAGAAGUAAGAAAUACUGGGAGUGGAGCCCCCAGAAGUUGCAUCUAUAAAUGCUUUUUUUGGAUUUGACACAGUGUCAAAGUUAUGGUUGCAGGCAUUGUCUGCUGUUUUUUGUAUUUCAUUAUCAUGGGAAAACUGACAGCUAAACUUUUUUAGAUUUCAGUUAACUUAGAACAUGGGACUCUUAACCUUUUUUAACCUUUUUUUUUUAAUUAGCAAGGACCCCAGCAAUGUUUUUUUAGCUCUAGAGGAGAUAAGAUUACUCCAUCUCCUUACAAGAUCAGUGUGUAUUUGGUUGGGUGUCUUGGGGGUAUGCUUUAUACGUGUGUGUGUGUGUGUGUGUGUGUGUUUUGAGGGGAGUGAUCCCUCAUAACGGAUAUGCUGCAACAUCCAGGCUCAUGAGUUGUGGAAAUUGUGGGGAGACCUGGAUUCUCGUGUUUUCUUUCUCCUGCCCCAGCUCUAACUUCUCAGUACUCUUGACUUUCUUCAUGAAGGGAACAUGGAAGAAGAAAGAAAAGUUGCAGAGUUACAGAAAAAUAUGACACAGGACUCUGUGGUCUUUGAGGAUGUGGCCGUGGACUUCACCCAGGAGGAGUGGGCUCUGCUAGAUUUUGCUCAGAGGAGCCUCUACAGAGAUGUGAUGCUGGAAAACUUUCAGAACCUGGCCUCCCUAGGGUAUCCAUUGCACACACCAUAUCUGAUCUCUCGGUGGAAACAAGAGGAGGACCUGGAGACAGUGGAAAGAGGACCUAUCCAGGGGGAACACCAGGAAGGUUUUGAGAUUCAACUUAAAACUAAUGAAUUAGUAGCUCCACAAGAUAUUUAUGGACAAAGAAUAUCCGGUGAACAGAAAAUAGUAAGGUUCAAAAGGAAUGAUUCUUGCUCAUCCAUUUUACACAAAAACUGGGAAUACCAUGGUAUUUGUUAUCAGAACAAAAACCAUGAGAGACAUUUGAGAAGUCCAGGUGUGGAGACCAUCUAUGAAUGUAAUGAAGAAAAUCAGUGUGGACAAGACUGCAGCCAAAUUUCACAUCUUAAUAUACUCAAGAGAACUACUGAAGUGAAGUCCUAUGAAUGCCAUGAGUGUAAGAAGGCCUUCACGGAUCAUUUAUCCCUUAAGAAUCACAUCAGGUCUCACACUGGAAGCAAACCCUAUCAAUGUAAAGAAUGUGGGAAAGCUUUCCAUUUUCUUGCUUGUUUUAAGAAGCAUGUGAAAAAUCCCACUGAAGGGAAACCUUACGAAUGUAAAGAAUGUACAAAAACCUUCGGUUGUUCUUCCUUCUUUAGGGCACAUAUGAAGAUUCACACUGGAAAGAUGAGCUAUGAAUGUAAGGAAUGUGGAAAAACCUUUAGCUGUUCUUCAUCCCUGACAGAACACAAAAGGAUUCACAGUGGAGAUAAGCCUUAUGAAUGUAGGGAAUGUGGGAAGGCGUUUAGCUGUUCUUCCUCACUCUCCAAACACAAAAGAAUUCACAGUGGAGAUAAGCCAUAUGAAUGUAAGGAAUGUGGGAAGGCCUUUAGUUCUUCCUCUCACCUUAUAAUACAUAUAAGAAUUCAUACUGGAGAGAAGCCUUACGAAUGUAAAGAGUGUGGGAAGGCCUUCAGCGAGUCCUCAAAACUCACUGUACACGUCAGAACACACACAGGAGAGAAACCCUAUAAAUGUAAGGAAUGUGGGAAAGCCUACAAUUGUCCCUCCUCCUUAAGUAUCCAUAUGAGAAAACACACUGGAGAGAAACCCUAUGAAUGCCUGGAAUGUGGAAAAGCCUUCUAUCUUCCCACUUCCCUUAAUACGCACGUGAAAAAUCAAAGUAGAGAGAAACCCUAUGAAUGUAAGGAAUGUGGAAAAGCCUUUAGUUGUCCCUCAUCCUUCAGAGCACACGUGAGAGAUCACACUGGAAAGAUACAAUAUGAAUGUAAGGAAUGUGGGAAGGCCUUUAGCCGUUCCUCAUCCCUCACUGAACACUUAAGAACUCACACUGGAGAGAAGCCUUAUGAAUGUAAAGAAUGUGGGAAAGCCUUUAUUAGUUCCUCCCACCUUAUAGUACAUAUAAGAACUCACACUGGAGAGAAACCUUACGAAUGUAAGAAAUGUGGCAAAGCCUUUAUUUAUCCCUCAGCUCUGAGGAUCCACAUGAGAACACAUACUGGGGAGAAACCCUAUGAAUGUAAGGAAUGUGGGAAAGCCUUUCGCCAUUCUUCAUACCUUACUGUCCAUGCAAGGAUGCACACUGGCGAGAAACCCUUCGAAUGUCUGGAAUGUGGGAAAGCCUUCAGUUGUCCCUCAUCCUUUCGAAGACAUGUAAGAAGCCACACUGGAGAGAAACCAUAUGAAUGUAAGGAAUGUGGAAAAGCCUUUGUGUGUCCUGCCUACUUUCGAAGACAUGUGAAAACUCACACUAGGGAAAAUGUAUAAAUGGUGUGAAAUGUGGGAACGUCUGCAAGGCGUUUUCACCUCACAGCAUAUCUGGAACGUUGUGGAGAUGCGCCAUGAAUAUAAGAAGGCAAGAAAGUGUUGCGUAUCUGUUUGACGACUUGAGAACUCACAGCUGAGAGAAACCUGUGUCUGUACACCUUGUGGGAAUGCCUUCAUGAAUGUCACUUCCGGCGUGCAAGAAAAUUCACACGAGAAGCACGGAUCAGGGCCUCACUUGUAAAGUGGACUGCUGGCUCAUUGAUAAUCGGUUUCUGUUUUCUGAUACGAAUAUUUAAGAACAUCCUUACCAAUUUUCACAAAUAUGCUGAGAGUGUGCUUGGAAUUGCAUUGACGAUGCCAUUACCUGAAUGAAAUUGACAUCUUUACAAGAUUGAGUCUUCCAAUGAAACAUAAUCAUCCAUUUACCUAGGUUGUCUUUAAUUUCUCUCAACAGUGUUUUGUAGUUUAAUUGUAGAGGACUUGAAUAUCUUUGUUUAAUUUAUUUCUAGGUAUGUGGUAUGUUUUGCUUUGUAAAUAUUUUUAUUUAUUUCCUGUUUAAUUUUUUAGCUAGCAUGAAUUGCAAUUUCUUUUUGUACAUUGAUCUUUUUAUCCAGUGACAUUUAUAAAUUAAAUUAUUAUUACUUGAAUUAUUCAAAUAGUUUGUGGAUUAUUUUGGAUUUUCUGUGUACAAUCCUGUCAAUAACAAAAGGAAGUCUUACUUGAUUUCUAAACUUUAUCUUUUUUUUUUUUUUUUGCCUCAUUGCUUUACAGUGAUGAAUAGAAAUGAUGAAAAUGAACAUCAUUGCUCUGUUCCUAAUCUUAGGGGAAAAUGUUCAAUAUUUCAUAAGUAUAAUAAUAGCUGUAAGUUUUUCAUAGAUUACUUUUAAAAACGAAGAGAACUGUUUUAUUCCCAGUUUGCCAAGUUUUUGUUUUUUUUUUUAAUUGUGAGUGAAUAUUUUAUCCAGUGCCUUCUCUGCAUGUAUUAUGGUCUUUAAAAAAACCCUUCAGUUUGUUAAUGUGAAUUACUACAUUCCUUGAUUUUCAGAUGGUAAAACAACAUGUCUUCCUGGAAUAAACCACACUUGGACGUGG